rnacentral:rRNA from 1 species
CUACUCGGAUACCCGUAGUAAAUCAGAGCUAAUACGUGCGUAAAUCCCGACUUCUGACGUAUUUAUUAGAUAAAAGGCCGACCGGGCUUCUGCCCGACUCGCGGUGAAUCAUGAUAACUUCACGAAUCGCAUGGCCUUGUGCCGGCGAUGUUUCAUUCAAAUUUCUGCCCUAUCAACUUUUGAUGGUAUGGUGGUAACGGGUGACGGAGGAUUAGGGUUCGAUUCCGGAGAGGGAGCCUGAGAAACGGCUACCACAUCCAAGGAAGGCAGCAGGCGCGCAAAUUACCCAAUCCUGACACAGGGAGGUAGUACAAUACUGGGCCUUUUCAGGUCUGGUAAUUGGAAUGAGUACAAUCUAAACCCCUUAACGAGGAUCAAUUGGAGGGCAAGUCUGGUGCCAGCAGCCGCGGUAAUUCCAGCUCCAAUAGAAAAAGCUCGUAGUUGGAUUUCGGGUGGGACCUGCCGGUCCGCCGUUUCGGUGUGAGGGCUCACCUUGUUGCCGGGAACGGGCUCCUGGGCUUCACUGUCCGGGACUCGUGUUCAAAGCAGGCCUACGCUCUGAAUACAUUAGCAUGGAAUGCCUAUCCUGUUGGUCUGUAGGACCGGAGUAAUGAUUAAGAGGGACAGUCGGGGGCAUUCGUAUUUCAUUGUCAGAGGUGAAAUUCUUGGAUUUAUGAAAGACGAACUACUGCGAAAGCAUUUGCCAAGG